GGGGCGGGGCUUCCUGAAGGGGCGGGGCUUGUGUGCUGGCAGAGCCGCUCGUCUGACACAGAGGAAGAGCCAUCCUUGAGCUAAGAGGACUGGCUGUAAUUAGCAUGGAGAGAUUAAAUAUGAAAGGAACACUGUCAAAAACCCAUUUCCACCACAGGAAAUGAGCGUGGCCUAGAAUAGAUGCAGAGCAUGAUUAAACUGCAGGACGGGCUCGGGAGGGAGGGUGAGCCGGCACACAUCUCCCGGGGGCCGCCCCAGACCUAUGCUUGGGACCACUGCUGAGUCAGAUCCAUGGAGGCGGUUCUCUGCAGAUGAUGCGGAGAAACAGGAUGCUAGGCGUCUUUAUCCUGCUUCCAGUGCUGACUGAGCCAUCCAGGGUCCCACAGAGGCCAAGUCCUGGCAGUAAAGAAUGUGGAGACCCAUACGGGCAGCGGGCAGACAGCCCGAGAAGGCCAGAGGCGGAUGCCAGGUAGACGUGGUGUCUGGAGCUACGGUAGCCAUUACGUGAUCACGAGGUGACAGACACGAACCAACAGGGAGAGAUUUUCACAGAGCCACUGGACCAAUAUCAAUAACCACCUACACCUGACUAUGUGUUAGGCUGAAGCCACUCUGAGUUGGGGUUUCUGUUAAUUGCGGCUGAACCCAUUCUUAACUAAUAUUUUAAUUAUUAGAAACGAAUUUGCAAUAAAAAAACUUGUGGUUAAAUCUU